rnacentral:lncRNA from 15 species
CAGAAACGGUAAAUGCGACCUCUAUGGCCAAUAUUAACCAAUACAUUGCUGACCCACCUCUCAGUUGGUCCUGGUGUGUCCUGAAUGAAUGAGUUUAGAACGCUCAACAAUGUAUGCAAGAGAAAAUGAGAGCAAACGGCAGCUUAAGUGUUGUAUGCAACUCUGGCCUUCAAAGAACAUACAAAGAAUCACAACGAACCGCAGGAGAAGAAAGAGAGAGGGCAAGGGAAUUCAUGUAAGGACAGCCUGACUAUCCUCUCUGCCCCAUUUUAUCUGUGGAGAAAUAUUUCUCUCACAUACCCUCUGACACACCAGUCUUCUAUCUUCACCCGGGGAAAAAAGUGAUCUGAGGCGUCAACAACGUUUACCUAGUUGCACUGCACUGGGAAAUGUGUUCAACAGAGGUGGAGUUACCGGGAUAGAGCCUUUUUAUCUCACAGCAGGCUCUCGCUCUGAUACUCGGGAGAAGCAGCAGGAGGGAAGAAGCAGGGAAGUAGAGAUUGCGCAGAAGAACCAGGGUCACAUGAGGCUGCGGUGUCUCAGAGGAACCGCGGCAGGGUACAACACACAGCCCGUGUGCGUGAAUGGGAAACAUGAACAAAGCAAACUGAAAGGGAAUGUGGGUAAAAUGAGGUUAAAAGAGGGGAGCAGGCGAGGCAACAUGAGUCACAGAACAGGUUAGUAGCCUGCCAUGGGGCAGAAGGAGAGUUGUAACUUACAACCCAGGAUCUUAUCUGAGAGAAAGUUCCUACCAUAUCUGCCAGCUGCAGUGGCGUACUUCAUAGGCCUCUAGAGUGUGUCGAGCUCGGGAGCGUGAGGACUGCACACACACACUCGUACUCCUCCAUAUGCAUAGCAGGAUGCAGCAGCACGGGAACGGUGCUAAAUGAGUUGUGGUUAUUUAUGAGCAUUGAUAAAACUAGACCCACAGGACACUUGUCAGAGCACAGAUGAAUUUAUUUUGGCAUAUUGCAUGGCAUUACAUAAUGCUGGUGUUAGAUUAGCUUAGAGCAAUGAGAGAAGAUGACUGGGGAUAGCAUUAACUGAAUGAUACAAAGGAGAUGGAAGAGAUAGGGAUAUAUGGAGCACAGGUGCAGCCCUUGGGCAGAGCACCAGACAUAUACCGGUGAACACUGAGAGACUAGUGAAGAGUCAGUUGUUGUAUAAAGGGAGAUACUAUGAUCUCUAGCUAGUAGCAAGUGCCCUUCUGGUCAAGCCUGUAUCUGACAAGGUUUGUUUACUGUAUAAUAAAGGGGAAGGGCUGUUCUUUUAUUAUGAGAUUGCAAUGUUGUACAUACUGUUUACAUACUUUAGAGAACUAUAAAAUCAGUCUGAUAGCCUAAGGAAAGUGGGUCAAUAACAACUUUACGAUGUGCUACAUUUUGUUUGUCUUCAGCGUCAAACCUCAUAAACCAAAAUUAUGGCUUAUGGGAAACUUGGAAGUGAGAGCAUAGCAUCCUACUUAUAAUUUAAUUUUAGUACUGUUUUAGAUUUUGUUUUAGAUUUCCACAUUUGUGAUAUGAGAUAUUAGUUUUGAGCUUAGAAACCCUUACAUUUUGUGGUCUGUUUAGGCAAGUAUUAAAAUUUUAUUGUAUCAGCAAAAUAAUUCAGUGUUUUAAUGACAAUUGUCUUUAUGAACCUGUGAUAAUGGUGAUAGGUCAAUAAACUAUAAAAAGAAAAAAUACUUAUUAUUUAUUUGUUUAUGAUUUGUUGUUAAUAUGAUAGUAGACUCCUGUGAUUUGAUGUCCUCCUUCUCAAAUUCAGUAAACAACCACAAGAAUUAUGUUUGAAUAAAAUCAUUAUUCUUACACUGUUUACACUGUCUUACACAAUUUUAAGGUCAUU